rnacentral:sRNA from 1 species
UCUUUUAAUAGUAAUAUAUUAUAUUUAUUUUGGUUAUUUUUUAUUUAAUUACUAUCGCACCCGCUGGUUUACCAGUCAUAAAACUCCCGCAAACGCACCCAUUACCAAACGCUCAACCAGUCGUUCAAAACACUUGAUAACGCUUGAAACCGCAACCGCCCGUUUCCGCAAACUCCCGCAACCGCAACCGCACCCGCUGCGUUUAAACCAGUCAGGCCCUUAAUAAUUAUGGUCACUUAGGGCCUGACUAGUUUAAACGCAGCGGGUGCGAUUGCGGUUGCAGGAGUUUGCGGAAACGGGCGGUAGCGGUUUUAAGCGUUAUCAAACGUUUUAAACGACUGGUUGAGCGUUUGAUAAUGGAUGCGUUUGCGGGAGUUUUAUGACUGGUAAACCAGCGGGUGCAAUAUUAAUUAAAUAAAAAAUAACCAAAAUAAAUAUAAUAUAUUACUAUUAAAAGA